GAUUCUGGCUCAGAACGAACGCUGGUAGUGUGGAUUAGGCAUGCAAGUCGAACGGGAACCCCGAGUAUAGCAAUAUAUUUGGGGGGAUAGUGGCGAAAGGGCGAGAAACACGUGGGCAAUCUACCUCUAAGUUGGGGAUAACCCGCCGAAAGGCGGGCUAAUACCGAAUGUGGUGGUUCGUCGCAUGACGGAUUGACCAAAGGCGGGGACUUUAGGGCCUGCCGCUUGGAGAGGAGCCCGCGCCCCAUCAGCUAGUUGGUAGGGUAACGGCCUACCAAGGCUUACGGGUAGCUGGUCUGAGAGGAUGACCAGCCGCACUGGGACUGAGACACUGCCCAGACUCCUACGGGAGGCUGCAGUCGAGGAUCUUUUGCAAUGGGCGAAAGCCUGACAAAGCGACACUGCGUGGAGGACGAAGGCCUUCGGGUCGUAAACUCCUGUCAUUCGGGAAAAACGAGCAUCCGGCUAAUAUCCGGAUGAAGUGAUGGUACCGGAAGAGGAAGCCACGGCCAACUCUGUGCCAGCAGCCGCGGUAAUACAGAGGUGGCUAGCGUUGUUCGGAUUUACUGGGCGUAAAGGGUGCGUAGGUGGUGUGGUGUGUCGGGCGUGAAAUCCCACGGCUCAACCGUGGAACGCCGUCCGAAACUGCCAUGCUAGAGUGCGGGAGGGGAGAGCGGAAUUCUCGGUGUAGCGGUGAAAUGUGUUGAUAUCGAGAGGAACACCGGUGGCGAAGGCGCUCUCUGGAACGCAACUGACACUGAGGCACGAAAGAUGGGGGAGCAAACAGGAUUAGAUACCCUGGUAGUCCCAUCCCUAAACGGUGUGAACUUGGUGUGGGGAGAAUUGACCCUCUCCGUACCGGAGCUAACGCGUUAAGUUCACCGCCUGGGAAGUACGGUCGCAAGAUUAAAACUCAAAGAAAUUGACGGGGGCCCGCACAAGCGGAGGAGCAUGUGGCUCAAUUCGAUGCAACGCGAGGAACCUUACCAGGGCUUGACAUGCAGGUGCAUUUCCGCUGAAAGGUGGAAAGCCUUAGGGUCCUGCACAGGUGCUGCAUGGCUGUCGUCAGUUCGUGCCGUGAGGUGUUGGGUUAAGUCCCGCAACGAACGCAACCCUUGUGUCUAGUUGCUAACUCCGAUGAUAAGUCGGAAAGCACUCUAAACAGACUGCCCGUGUAAGCGGGAGGAAGGUGGGGAUGACGUCAAGUCAGUAUGGCCUUUAUGCCCUGGGCUGCACACGUGCUACAAUGGCAGGUACAGAAAGAAGCAAUACCGCGAGGUGGAGCAAAUCUCCAAAACCUGCCCCAGUUCAGAUUGAAGGCUGCAACUCGCCUUCAUGAAGUUGGAUUCGCUAGUAAUGGCGCAUCAGCUACGGCGCCGUGAAUACGUUCCCGGGCCUUGUACACACCGCCCGUCACAUCAUGAAAGCCGUCUGCACCCCAAGUCGCUGUACCAACCUGCAAAGGAGGAAGGCGCCUAAGGUGUGGGUGGUGAUUGGGAUGAAGUCG
rnacentral:rRNA from 1 species